CACGUAGGAGGCGAGCGUUGUCCGGAAUCAUUGGGCGUAAAGAGCGCGCAGGCGGCUUGGCAAGUCGGGUGUGAAAUCCCGGGGCUCAACCCCGUGACUGCAUUCGAUACUGUCAGGCUAGAGGUAGGUAGGGGAGAUCGGAAUUCCUGGUGUAGCGGUGAAAUGCGCAGAUAUCAGGAGGAACACCGGUGGCGAAGGCGGAUCUCUGGGCCUUACCUGACGCUGAGGAGCGAAAGCGUGGGGAGCGAACAGG
rnacentral:rRNA from 1 species